rnacentral:lncRNA from 1 species
AGAGAAUCUAUUGUAAAGCUAAGAAAGGGUCAGCGGAAUCAAGGAGGAGACAUGGAAAUAGCAGAAUGUUGCUUAGCUUGCUCAACAUCUCCUGAGAAUCAUCUACUGCUCAAGCCUGCCUCACUCAAGCGUGGCUGAUAAACACUGUUAGCUGGCACUGACCAGUAGGACGAGCGAACAAUGUUCUUGAAAGGCAAAGUCAAAGAAUCGUCCAUUGGUCAAGCUAGUUGUCAGAAGUUCUAGUGGUGAGAGGAGGCUGGUCUGGGUUAGGACCUUGUUUCAGUUCCAAGGUGGUGUCCUCUCUGCUUCCUUCACUGAACAUCUACCAUGUGCUACUUGACCUGGGAAUGAUUUGUGGAACUUGCCCCAGGUGAAGAAAAUGCCUAAUUAUAGUUCUGGCCUUCUGAACAGAUGAUGAGAGACACCUUGUAGGUAGCUAGUUUAGCUAGUGUUCCUAUGAAAACACUUAUGAGGAUGGAGCCUGAGGUUUAGCCAGACAAGGCUGGAGACCCCUAAUUGGAUGAAUAUUGACAAGGAUUAUAUAAAAGAAGACCCAUUGCACUCAGACCAGGAUGCUACAAAAGGUGCCAAAAACUUCAACAAGAUGUAUAAGGAAGCAGUAGAGAAGAAACCCCAAGUGACCCUCUGUUUGGGUUCUAGGGAAAUAUAGCUAAGAAAAAUGAAGAUUGAUUAAAAGAACUGGGGAAGUAGAGUCCUGAUAAGGGAAGACUUGGAGGAACACUAUUGUCUUCAAGUAUUUGAAAG